CUAGGGGCAUGAUCCAAAGUCUGUUGAAGUCAAUAGGAGUCUUUCAAUUGACUUCAAUGGGCUUUGGAUUCAGGCCAUAGAAG
rnacentral:pre_miRNA from 1 species